rnacentral:rRNA from 1 species
CUUAGUGAUCCGGUGGUUCCGCAUGGAAGGGCCAUCGCUCAACGGAUAAAAGCUACCCCGGGGAUAACAGGCUUAUCUCCCCCAAGAGUCCACAUCGACGGGGAGGUUUGGCACCUCGAUGUCGGCUCAUCGCAUCCUGGGGCUGUAGUCGGUCCCAAGGGUUGGGCUGUUCGCCCAUUAAAGCGGUACGCGAGCUGGGUUCAGAACGUCGUGAGACAGUUCGGUCCCUAUCCGUCGUGGGCGUAGGAAAUUUGAGAGGAGCUGUCCUUAGUACGAGAGGACCGGGAUGGACACACCGCUGGUGUACCAGUUGUCUUGCCAAAGGCAUCGCUGGGUAGCUAUGUGUGGACGGGAUAAGUGCUGAAAGCAUCUAAGCAUGAAGCCCCCCUCAAGAUGAGAUUUCCCAUAGCGCAAGCUAGUAAGAUCCCUGAAAGAUGAUCAGGUUGAUAGGUCAGAGGUGGAAGCACGGCGACGUGUGUAGCUGACUGAUACUAAUCGAUCGAGGACUUAACCAAA